rnacentral:rRNA from 1 species
UACGAAGGGGGCGAGCGUUGUUCGGAAUUACUGGGCGUAAAGGGCGCGUAGGCGGCGAACCAAGUCAGAUGUGAAAGUCCUGGGCUUAACCUGGGGACUGCAUUUGAUACUGGUUUGCUUGAAUUCGGGAGAGGAUAGCGGAAUUCCCAGUGUAGAGGUGAAAUUCGUAGAUAUUGGGAAGAACACCGGUGGCGAAGGCGGCUCUCUGGGACGGUACUGACGCUGAGACGCGAAAGCGUGAGGAGCGAACAGG